AACGUAGGAGACAAACGUUAUCCGGAGUUACUGGGCGUAAAGGGCGUGUAGGCGGUCUGUUAAGUCUGGCGUGAAAGCUCUCGGCUAAACCGGGAGAGGUCGUUGGAUACUGGCAGACUAGAGGACGGUAGAGGCGUGUGGAAUUCCGGGUGUAGUGGUGUAAUGCGUAGAGAUCCGGAGGAACACCAGAGGCGAAGGCGGCCUACUGGGCUGCACCUGACGCUGAGCCGCGAAAGCCAGGGGAGCGAACGGG
rnacentral:rRNA from 1 species